UACGUAGGGACCAAGCGUUGUUCGGAUUUACUGGGCGUAAAGGGCGCGUAGGCGGUGUGACAAGUCACUUGUGAAAUCUCUGAGCUUAACUCAGAACGGCCAAGUGAAACUGUUGUGCUAGAGUGCAGAAGGGGCAAUCGGAAUUCUUGGUGUAGCGGUGAAAUGCGUAGAUAUCGUAAGGAAGACCAGAGGCGAAGGCGGCUAGCUGGACAGGCACUGACACUCAACUACGAAAGCGUGGGGAGCAAACAGG
rnacentral:rRNA from 1 species